rnacentral:rRNA from 1 species
CAAGUCGAACGCACCGCAAGGUGAGUGGCAGACGGGUGAGUAACACGUGGGAAUUUUCCCUUCAGUUCAGGAUAGCCCCGGGAAACUGGGAUUAAUACUGAAUAUUAUCUACGGAUGAAAGAUUUAUCGCUGAAGGAUAAGCCCGCGUAAGAUUAGCUAGUUGGUGAGGUAAUGGCUCACCAAGGCUACGAUCUUUAGCUGGUCUGAGAGGAUGAUCAGCCACACUGGAACUGAGACACGGUCCAGACUCCUACGGGAGGCAGCAGUGAGGAAUAUUGGACAAUGGGCGCAAGCCUGAUCCAGCCAUGCCGCGUGAGUGAUGAAGGCCUUAGGGUUGUAAAACUCUUUUAGUGGGGAAAAUAAUGAUGGUACCCACAGAAAAAGCUCCGGCUAACUUCGUGCCAGCAGCCGCGGUAAUACGAAGGGAGCAAGCGUUACUCGGAAUUACUGGGCGUAAAGCGCAUGUAGGCGGACUUUCAAGUCAGAGGUGAAAUCCCAGGGCUCAACCCUGGAAUUGCCUUUGAAACUGUAAGUCUUGAGUAUGACAGAGGAUGGUGGAAUUUCCAGUGUAGAGGUGAAAUUCGUAGAUAUUGGAAGGAACACCGGUGGCGAAGGCGACCAUCUGGGUCAUUACUGACGCUGAGAUGCGAAAGCGUGGGGAGCAAACAGGAUUAGAUACCCUGGUAGUCCACGCCGUAAACGAUGAGUGCUAGUUGUUGGAUUUUUCCAGUGACACAGUUAACACGUUAAGCACUCCGCCUGGGGAGUACGGUCGCAAGAUUAAAACUCAAAGGAAUUGACGGGGACCCGCACAAGCGGUGGA